GAUGAACGCUGGCGGCGUGCCUAAUACAUGCAAGUCGAGCGAACGGACGAGAAGCUUGCUUCUCUGAUGUUAGCGGCGGACGGGUGAGUAACACGUGGAUAACCUACCUAUAAGACUGGGAUAACUUCGGGAAACCGGAGCUAAUACCGGAUAAUAUUUUGAACCGCAUGGUUCAAAAGUGAAAGACGGUCUUGCUGUCACUUAUAGAUGGAUCCGCGCUGCAUUGGCUAGUUGGUAAGGUAACGGCUUACCAAGGCAACGAUGCAUAGCCGACCUGAGAGGGUGAUCGGCCACACUGGAACUGAGACACGGUCCAGACUCCUACGGGAGGCAGCAGUAGGGAAUCUUCCGCAAUGGGCGAAAGCCUGACGGAGCAACGCCGCGUGAGUGAUGAAGGUCUUCGGAUCGUAAAACUCUGUUAUUAGGGAAGAACAUAUGUGUAAGUAACUGUGCACAUCUUGACGGUACCUAAUCAGAAAGCCACGGCUAACUACGUGCCAGCAGCCGCGGUAAUACGUAGGUGGCAAGCGUUAUCCGGAAUUAUUGGGCGUAAAGCGCGCGUAGGCGGUUUUUUAAGUCUGAUGUGAAAGCCCACGGCUCAACCGUGGAGGGUCAUUGGAAACUGGAAAACUUGAGUGCAGAAGAGGAAAGUGGAAUUCCAUGUGUAGCGGUGAAAUGCGCAGAGAUAUGGAGGAACACCAGUGGCGAAGGCGACUUUCUGGUCUGUAACUGACGCUGAUGUGCGAAAGCGUGGGGAUCAAACAGGAUUAGAUACCCUGGUAGUCCACGCCGUAAACGAUGAGUGCUAAGUGUUAGGGGGUUUCCGCCCCUUAGUGCUGCAGCUAACGCAUUAAGCACUCCGCCUGGGGAGUACGACCGCAAGGUUGAAACUCAAAGGAAUUGACGGGGACCCGCACAAGCGGUGGAGCAUGUGGUUUAAUUCGAAGCAACGCGAAGAACCUUACCAAAUCUUGACAUCCUUUGACAACUCUAGAGAUAGAGCUUUCCCCUUCGGGGGACAAAGUGACAGGUGGUGCAUGGUUGUCGUCAGCUCGUGUCGUGAGAUGUUGGGUUAAGUCCCGCAACGAGCGCAACCCUUAAGCUUAGUUGCCAUCAUUAAGUUGGGCACUCUAAGUUGACUGCCGGUGACAAACCGGAGGAAGGUGGGGAUGACGUCAAAUCAUCAUGCCCCUUAUGAUUUGGGCUACACACGUGCUACAAUGGACAAUACAAAGGGCAGCGAAACCGCGAGGUCAAGCAAAUCCCAUAAAGUUGUUCUCAGUUCGGAUUGUAGUCUGCAACUCGACUACAUGAAGCUGGAAUCGCUAGUAAUCGUAGAUCAGCAUGCUACGGUGAAUACGUUCCCGGGUCU
rnacentral:rRNA from 1 species